UGAUCGAAAAUAAAGGUAAUCGUUCUGCAUUUAUGCAGGAAGGAAAGUCCGAACUCCACAGAGCACGAUACCUGAUAACUUCAGGGGGUCAAUUGAUCCGCCCUAAGAUUUUUAUGCUGUGGCGGGUAUAAACAAUUGGCUACGGAAAGUGCCGCAGAAAAAAUACCGCCCCGAUUUUUAUCGGGUAAGGGUGAAAAGGCAGGGUAAGAGCCUACCGCUCUGACAGUAAUGUCAGGGGUUUCGUUCUGCAGAGUUUUUGCGAGCGAGAUUCUAUCAAAGUUUUUGAUGGAACCAGGUAAACCCUAUCGGGAGUAAGGUCAAAUAAGGAAGGAAGAAAAAUGAUUCGGUUCGAACAUAUUUCUGCGAGGUUGCUCGCUUUCGCUUUCACUUCCGGGUAGACCGCUCGAUUUCAUUGGCGACGAUGAAACUAGAUAAAUGAUUACCGUCCCGAUUUUCGUAGGAUUUUCGGGAAACAGAAUUCGGCUUACUUUUCGCUCGCUUC
rnacentral:RNase_P_RNA from 1 species